GUUAUGUACCAUACCACCCUUAACACCUCCGAUCUCGUCAGAUCUCGGAAGCUAAGCUGGGUCGGGCUUGGUUAGUACUUGGUUGGGAGACCUCCUGGAAGACCAGGUGCUGUAAGUA
ensembl:rRNA 5S_rRNA 5S ribosomal RNA